AGGAUGAACGCUAGCGGCAGGCUUAACACAUGCAAGUCGAGCGCUCCAGCAAUGGAGAGCGGCAAACGGGUGCGGAACACGUACACAAUCUACCCUCUACUGGGGAAUAGCCUUUCGAAAGGAAGAUUAAUACCCCAUAAAAUAGCAGUCAGGCAUCUGACAACUAUUAAAGUUCCGGCGGUAGGGGAUGAGUGUGCGUCCUAUUAGGUAGUUGGUAGGGUAACGGCCUACCAAGCCUACGAUAGGUAGCUGGUGUGAGAGCACGACCAGCCACACGGGAACUGAGACACGGUCCCGACUCCUACGGGAGGCAGCAGUGAGGAAUAUUGGUCAAUGGACGCAAGUCUGAACCAGCCAUGCCGCGUGGAGGAUGAAGGCCCUCUGGGUUGUAAACUUCUUUUAUAGGGAAGAACCUGAGUAUUCUACUCAGCCGACGGUACCUAACGAAUAAGCACCGGCUAACUCCGCGCCAGCAGCCGC
rnacentral:rRNA from 1 species